rnacentral:lncRNA from 1 species
GUCAGAGGUGCGAGGGGAGGUAGGGCGGGCAGGGCCGGGGUGUGAGACCAGGUGUCACGACUGUUGUGUCUCCCUCACAGUGCCCUAGAGUCCAUCCAGAGUGCCCGUGCUGCCCAGGCCCCGCACUGGAAGAGCCUCCAGCAGCAAGAUGUGACCGCUGUGCCGAUGAGCCCCAGCAGCCACUCCCCAGAGGGGAGGCCUCCACCUCUGCUGCCUGGGGGUCCAGUGUGUAAGGCAGCUGCAUCUGCACCGAGCUCCCUCCUGGACCAGCCGUGCCUCUGCCCCGCACCCUCUGUCCGCACCGCUGUUGCCCUGACAACGCCGGAUAUCACAUUGGUUCUGCCCCCUGACGUCAUCCAACAGGAAGCGUCAGCCCUGAGGGAGGAGACAGAAGCCUGGGCCAGGUGAACAGUGGUAUAGCAGCCACUCCAGCCUCUGCUGCAGCAGCCACCCUGGAUGUGGCUGUUCGGAGAGGCCUGUCCCACGGAGCCCAGAGGUAAGCCUCACUUGGCCAUCCUGAGCCUCUGACGGCAGGACCUGUGGGCACCCCUAUCCUGGCUGGCCAAGCACAGAGAGUUCUGGGAAUGGACUCUGGACAACAUGAACACCUGUCCUGAGGCCAGCUCUUCUUCCAGGCUGCUGUGCGUGGCCCUGGGACAGCUGGACCGGCCUCCAGACCUCGCCCAUGACGGGAGGAGUCUGUGGCUGAACAUCAGGGGCAAGGAGGCGGCUGCCCUAUCCAUGUUCCAUGUCUCCACGCCACUGCCAGUGAUGACCGGUGGUUUCCUGAGCUGCAUCUUGGGCUUGGUGCUGCCCCUGGCCUAUGGCUUCCAGCCUGACCUGGUGCUGGUGGCGCUGGGGCCUGGCCAUGGCCUGCAGGGCCCC